UUCUCAACGGAGAACCAUGCACCUGCGCAUGCGCCGCUCUCACCCCCAGCGGCGAAUUGCAUCUGCGCAGGCGCAGAGCGAUUCGCACGGCUCGUUUCCCAUCCUCCUCCGCGGCCAGGGCGCGCGGCCGAGAACGUUUCCCGGCGACCCGGGGCUAGACAAGGUGGAGCGCGGUGCUGGAGGGCAAUGUGGCCUUGGGUCUAGGCGGCGCCCGGCAAAGUCUAUUAAGUGUUGAGGAAGAGUCAGGGUGAGUUUAGGGCGCCGCCGCAGUUCUAAGUUGAAGUUUGUGUUCAUCACGGUUCACACAGGAAACGUGUGCGGAUUCAUUGGGAGCCCCCUCAGAGUGCACCUGUGUGAGGAGCCGACGAGUAAACGGAGGCACAAAACGCCGCCAGGCCGGGCAGGAGAGCUUCCUUCUGGAGAUGGUUGCGAGCGGGUUGAGGCCUGGAGCGACGUCGGGGACGCCCAGCGCCUGCCAAGGCCGCGGUGAUGCCCACCCUCUCCAGCCGGGCUGUCAGUGUGCAUAGGAACAGCAAGAUCGCACAGGCUGUGAGAGAGUGACAUGGUGGCAGCCUGGUGGCAGCCCCCUGAGAAGCUUGCAUUUUACCAGCUUCCUGCGCAGUGUCGUUGGUGAGCUGAGGCCCCUGCGAAGAUCAGCACCUCUUCAUAGAGCUCAGAGGAGGGGGAAGGAGCCGGUCCCCCCUGCAUUUGCGUAGGCUGCCUCUAUUGCCCGCCACGACUUCAGCGGUCUUUGGAUGAUGGGGAGCCAGACCAACAAGGCCACCUACCUCAAGCUACUCUGGCCUUCGCCAGAGGACCAGAUGGAAGGUGCUGUGCUGGACUCAUUCCUGGUCUCCUGAGGCCAUCUCUGCUCCUGCCUGAAGCCCCUGUCCACGGCUACAGCUGGUGGCUUGUCGUAGCCAGUGCCGUCCUGCUUUACCUCUGCGCUGGGGGAGGGGCAUUGACCCCUGACGGGCAGCUGUGUGCGUAUGCAGGCCGCAGGGGAGGCCGUCUGGAAAGGCAGCCUCAGAAGGAUUUGUGAUGUGGAGACUGAGUGAGGAGCCUGGCCCAGUGUCAGUAGCCUGUUCCUUUACUCAUUCAUCAAGAGGACCUAGUCAGGCUCCCCUUGUGUGAGAUGCUCACACUUAGAUGGGGACAGCCAGAGCAGCCGAAGAGAUUGGAACAUCUAAAGCCAUUCUGUCAAGAAGGCCCCUGUCUGACAUUCAUCUUUUCAUUCAGCAAGUACUUGGUGAGCACCUGCUAUGGGGCCAGCCUUGUCUACAUGAUGCUAUAUACGCCCAGCUCUUGUGCGACUUAGCCCAGUAGGAUGAGGUUGACCAUAACAACGUGUGUUAGAUGUGAUGGUGGCAAGAAAAUCAGGAUAAAGGAGAUAGAGUCAUGGAAGAAAACCUGCUACUUAAGUAGGAUGCUAUGGUAGGGUGACAUCUGGGCAGAGGCUUAAGUGAAGGGAGGGACAAGCCGUGUAGCCAUCUGGAGGCAGAGCACUCAGGUAGAGGAACAGUGCAAAGGCCCUGAGGUGGGAGGCCCUUUGGAAACAUGUUGAAACUGUCAGUGUGAAAUUAUAAUGUCUGUAGAGAAGCCCUGUGGCAGGUACUUACAUUUCUUGUCAGAAACCAGCAUCAUCUCUCUGGCCAAGGGUGGUAUAGCCCCCAGAAAGGAAACAGGCCUGGAGCUGAAAGUCCUCCAGGAGCGAGGUUAAGAAGCCUGAGCCAAGGACAUGUGUGCAUGUUCUCUGAGGAGGCGUAGAACAGGCUUAUAGAAUACAGGACUGCUGUGUCCUGGUGUUGUGCUGUCUUCUUUUAAGACAAAUACCGUAGGCUUCAGACGGGAUACAGAGGUCGUGAGUCCCACAGUCUUGGUCGAGCAGAGAGGCAUGCUGUCUCACUGGCUGGCGUACCUCUACACAGGACAUUUGUAGCUCGGAGUUGUCCAUGUGGCCUGAUAGUUAGACCAGCUUGCCUAGUUAUCAGCCUACAAACUUUCCAGCUCCUCACUUCAGUGACUCUUUCCAAGUAAUGAAAACAGGCUUCUUCUGGCCAUGGAGUAGCUCACAGCAGACCAAUGCCUCCCGAAGACUCAGGAACUGGCCAUAAUUCACAAAGCGUCUGCUUGAAGGACCAGAGCACUGCCCUGGCACCGACGACUCAGAGGGGAGCUUGAAGAGGUGAGCCCUACUUCCUACAUUGGCUUCUCCCCUUAGGGCUGGGCAGGGGUGGCUGCUAAGAGGCAGAGAAGCCAGAGGAGGUCCGUGUAAUCUCGUGGGGCUGGGGAGACUGAGCUGGGGAUAUGGGCCUGAGGCAGUGGGGCUGGAGGGCUGAGAUCCUUGAAAGGAAGGAGACCAGAGAAGCUGAAAGUGGCUGAAAAGCAGAGCUGGGUUUUUGGCAGUUUCCUGCUGCUAGGGAAGAGUUCAGAGCCUGCCAAGGAGGAAUGGCCCUAAGAAAUACCAGACUCUUGGCUGGGACCUUUGGGGACCCCAGGUGAUUGGGCUUUGCAAGGACUGCAGAAUGAGCUCAGUGUCAGCUGAGUCCCCAGCUGGCCUGAGGUGGCCUGGCCCCUCUGCUGCCCACCCUGGAGGGAGACAUCGUACCAUUCCUCUGCUGGUCCAUCAAAUUACUAGGCAUACUGAGAAACAGGACGGGGGGCAAAAGUUGGUAGACCCACAGGAGAUUAAGAUACUGGAGUAGCAGAUAUGGACUUUAAAGUAAGUUAUUAACAUAUUAAAGAAAAUAGGUAAGAUGAAGAGUUUCAUAGAGAAUUAGAAUUCAUAAAAGAUUAAAUGAAAAUUCUGAAAGGGAAAGUACAAUAACUGAAAUUUAAAAUUCAGUAGGUGGAUUUUACAGUAGAUGAGACAGCAGAAGAGAGGAUUAGUGAGCUGGAAGACAGAGCAAUAGAAAGUACCUCUGCAAACACCACCAGGACCAGCUCACUCUAUCCUGUGAGCUUCCUUCUCCUUGCUUGUCUUGGGCAGGCCUGCUGAGAAGGCUCUUUGUGCUUGGGAAUUUGGGGGACACUCCCCAUUGCAGCCUUGUUGGAAACAUCAUCAGAACGUGGGGAGUCUAGUCAGUGGAGCUCUAUGACUAAUGAAAUCUUUAAGGGCCUCAGGUCCGUCAGCAGGACGUGAGCUUGUUUGUGCUCAUGGGCCCAGGCUAAAGGUAUGCUAAUCUCUCCAACAUACUCCUUGAAAAUGUCUUUUUAAACAAUUCCCUUUUCAUUGGCUUCUCUCCUGAAAGAAGAGUGCAGAAAAGUGCACUUUUGAGGGGCAGGGAAUCAGGUGGGGAACCAAGGGAGGCUUGUCUGUGAUUUGCAAAGGGCAAGCACACUGCUUCUCAGGCUCCCAGACCGAGUGCCACCUGUUCCACAACGGGGUGAGGGAGCAGGGCCCAGGCUGUGAAGGGCGUGACUGUGAAACUGGUUGUGGAUUGUAGCAAUUCAUAGGCAUGUUGUUCUGAGAAAUUUUCCAUCCUGGGUUAAUGGUUUCCUUAUAAUGAACAGAAAUAAAUUCAUGAGGGAUGGUGAGCUGUGGUGGGAUCAUGGGUCAAGGCCAGCGGCUGAGCGGACAGAUGACUGCUGACCUGCAUAGGCUGUCUGACAUGGGUUAAUGCAGUGUUGUUGCAAAGACAUUGGCCCUUUAUCUCCAGUAAAGGGUGGAAGCCUCUUUGUCCUCUAAAGCGCUCUGUCUGUGGGUGCAGCAACCACCCCUCCCGAGGGGAGAGAUGGAGUCUGGGUGGAGUCUGGCUGGAGGGAGGGGGGGCAUGUCUGAGGGGCCACAAUAGCCACUGGCUCCUGGGAGCUUCUGGUCAGCUCAAGCUGAGUGCCCAGAGGCCACCUGGAUGCUCCUUAGUGUCUCCUGUGCUUCAGGACAGAAGGCCGUGCUGGGUUCUCUGUGGAUGUUCAUGAGGAAGGGACGUUCUCUCACGUGGGAGGUUGGGGGCAGGAGAUGAGGAGCAGGUGAGCACGGAGCCCCGCUUGCUCGUUCAGCCUCUGCCUCCCAGGCUUUGAGGCCUGGGCAGUUUGAUGGAUGAGAUAGAUGAGGUCCCUACUCCUGGGCAGCUGGUGUUCUAGUCCAGAGGCCAGCCUUAAAUGAGUAUAAGCAAGUAAGAGCAGACACUAAAACAAAGAAAACAAGGGUCAUGGAAAAGAUGACACUGGGACCAUGCUGGUGGCAGGGACUGGGUGGGCAGAGGACGACCUCCCUGAAGAGGGGUUGGUGAGCUGAAACUGGGACAGAACAAGGCGGCCACUCAGGGGCAGAGCGGAGGUUCUGAGUUAGAACCACACAGGUCCUGAUAGGCGCCAGCUUUUCUCUUGAGGACAAUGAGAAACCAAUGACAGAUUUUAAGCAGGAGAAUCUGAUCACACAUUCACAGGAUGUGCUGGCACCGGCCGAGGCUUGGAUUGUGGCGCGGUUUUCUGGGAGCAGGGAGACCAAUGGGCAGCUUUGCAUUUGUUCGGGGGAAGAGUGGCGGCUGUAGAACCAGAGGGGAGUGCAGACUCAGGAUGCAUUUGGGGCUGAGGGGAAGCAGGAUGCAAAUGAGUUUCAGGUAUCCAAGCAUUUGGAUGCAGGCAGGGUCCUAGUGGCAGGGGCACACUGCUGUGUAUGUUAAAGUCAGGGUUUCCCAACCCUCGGCCCAGCGCACCCCUAGGUAAGGUUUAGUAAUUAUUUUAAGGGACCCCUAGGCCAAAAGAAAUACCUAACAGCUACAUUUAUUAAAUAGAUAAGUCCAAACAAACAAUUUAACUAUGUUCUAGCAAUUUAUAGUAGAUAUUUGGAAAAUAAUAUAUAUAAACUUAAAAUUUUUUUUCAUUAUGUUUUUAGGUAACUGUAAUUACUUACAGAUGGAAUGUGUGCCUCUUGGGCUCUCCUUAAAUCUUAGAAUCAGAUUGGAAACUGCCACCCCUGUUGCCUGUCCCACAUUGAUACUCACUCACACAGUAAUUGCUUUUUCAGUAACUGUCAGAAUCCUAGCUUUGCAGACAUCAAAUCAUGGAAAGGAAUGUAGCAAGAUAUGAGGUUAAAACCGUGAAGCGUCCAAAGACGUUGAGUAUCACUGUUUUCCUCACAAGUAAAAGGCAUCCUGCUGUGGCUGCAAGCUCACUAGGGGCGGGGGCGCCUCGGCACAGGCUGGAAGCUGCCGCUCCAUGCCCUUCCCUUUUCCCUCGGGGUCUGUUCUGUGGAUGUCCUCUCUUCCAGGCAGCAUGUUGGUGUGCAAGUCACCCCCACCCCUACUUUUAGGGAGGGCUCACUGGGUCUUGUGGCGCUCACUGUCGCCCUUGCAGCCCGACCGGCUUGCAUAGAGCAAGUGUCUCUUGAGGCCAUUUUGUUCUCGGCUUUGGUGCUUAAGAGGAUUUUUUUCUUUAUCCUUUGAUUUCAGCCACAUCACAGCUCAGGACCUGGCUCCAACUUCAUUACUUCCUUGUGAUGCAUGUUUCCCCUUCCUGUAUCUGGAGCAGGCUUAGUUAACUAAAUAGGGUGGCAGACUCUCAGGGCUCAUAGAAACACAGCUCACCACAAUCAGAGAGUGGUCUGCUCUCUGCACCCGUUUCCCUGCUGAUAUGACUUUGAAGG